CCGUUGCCGGCGACCGGCGCACGGGUGAGUAACACGUAUGCAACCUGCCCGUGGCAGGGGGAUAAGCGGGGGAAACCCCGUCUAAUACCGCGUAACGCGGCCUUGGGGCAUCCCAAGGCCGCCAAAGGGAGCAAUCCCGGCCACGGAUGGGCAUGCGGCGCAUUAGCUAGUCGGCGGGGUAACGGCCCACCGAGGCGACGAUGCGUAGGGGUUCUGAGAGGAAGGCCCCCACACUGGUACUGAGACACGGACCAGACUCCUACGGAAGGCAGCAG
rnacentral:rRNA from 1 species